rnacentral:rRNA from 1 species
UACGAAGGGGGCUAGCGUUGCUCGGAAUCACUGGGCGUAAAGCGUGCGCAGGCGGCCUUCCAAGUCAGGGGUGAAAGCCCAGAGCUCAACUCUGGAAUUGCCUUUGAGACUGUGAGGCUUGAGUACGGGAGAGGUGAGUGGAAUUCCCAGUGUAGAGGUGAAAUUCGUAGAUAUUGGGAAGAACACCGGUGGCGAAGGCGGCUCACUGGCCCGAAACUGACGCUCAUGCACGACAGCGUGGGGAUCAAACAGG